GGGGAACCAGGACUUUUACUGUGAAAAAAUUAGAGUGCUCCAGGCAGGCCUAUGCUCGAAUACAUUAGCAUGGAAUAAUAGAAUAGGACGUGUGGUUCUAUUUUGUUGGUUUCUAGGACCGCCGUAAUGAUUAAUAGGGACAGUCGGGGGCAUCAGUAUUCAAUUGUCAGAGGUGAAAUUCUUGGAUUUAUUGAAGACUAACUACUGCGAAAGCAUUUGCCAAGGAUGUUUUCAUUAAUCAGGAACGAAAGUUAGGGGAUCGAAGACGAUCAGAUACCGUCGUAGUCUUAACCAUAAACUAUGCCGGCUAGGGAUCGGACGGUGUUAUUUUUUGACCCGUUCGGCACCUUACGAGAAAUCAAAGUGCUUGGGCUCCAGGGGGAGUAUGGUCGCAAGGCUGAAACUUAAAGAAAUUGACGGAAGGGCACCACCAGGGGUGGAGCCUGCGGCUUAAUUUGACCCAACACGGGGAAACUCACCAGGUCCAGACACAAUGAGGAUUGACAGAUUGAGAGCUCUUUCUUGAUUUUGUGGGUGGUGGUGCAUGGCCGUUCUUAGUUGGUGGAGUGAUUUGUCUGCUUAAUUGCGAUAACGAACGAGACCU
rnacentral:rRNA from 1 species